rnacentral:rRNA from 1 species
AGUCGAACGAAGUCUUCGGACUGAGUGGCGGACGGGUGAGUAACACGUGAGAACCUGCCUUAAGGUCGGGGAUAACAGUUGGAAACGACUGCUAAUACCGGAUGUGCCUACGGGUGAAAGAUUUAUUGCCUAAAGAUGGGCUCGCGUCUGAUUAGCUAGUUGGAGUGGUAAUGGCACACCAAGGCGACGAUCAGUAGCUGGUCUGAGAGGAUGAUCAGCCACACUGGGACUGAGACACGGCCCAGACUCCUACGGGAGGCAGCAGUGGGGAAUUUUCCGCAAUGGGCGAAAGCCUGACGGAGCAAGACCGCGUGAGGGAGGAAGGCUCUUGGGUUGUAAACCUCUUUUGUCAGGGAAGAACACAAUGACGGUACCUGACGAAUCAGCAUCGGCUAACUCCGUGCCAGCAGCCGCGGUAAUACGGAGGAUGCAAGCGUUAUCCGGAAUUAUUGGGCGUAAAGCGUCCGCAGGUGGUUGUACAAGUCUGCUGUCAAAGCGCGGAGCUUAACUCCGUAAAGGCGGUGGAAACUGUGCGACUAGAGUUCGGUAGGGGUCGCGGGAAUUCCCAGUGUAGCGGUGAAAUGCGUAGAUAUUGGGAAGAACACCGGUGGCGAAAGCGCGCGACUGGACCGAGACUGACACUCAUGGACGA